GAUAGUAGCAAAUAAUCGAAUGAGACUUUGGAGGACUGCAGUGGAGAAGGGUUUCGUGUGAACAAUGGUUGAUCACGAGUUAUUCGGUCCUAAGUUUAAGUCCAAAGCUGAAAAUGUUCAAGUCAUGCAUUAAAAAUGUAUAUUUAUAUAUAUAUAAAAUGAUGUAUAAAACACUCGAACAUAAUUGAACGAAAGGGAUUACGUAGAUAAGCGAAGAAAGAACAGUUAUACUCCCCGCACUGAGUUCAUUUUCUAAAGAAAAAAGAUUGUAGCU
rnacentral:ncRNA from 1 species